rnacentral:sRNA from 1 species
UAAUUGCGUUAGGGGUUGCAGUGAAAAUCCUUUUUUAGCUGUUUUUUCAGCUUAAAAAGAUUGUAGCGUAAAACCCGACCUGAA